GUAGAGUACAGGAAGAACCAAACAAAGAAACACCAGAAAACACUAAAAACAAAGGCAAAACAGCCUGCAAAACAAAUAAAAGAAACAAAGAACAACACGUGCAACAGAACUGAAGCAGAAGCACACCCAGCCUGUGCAAAGAAGCGCAACAACCAAGCAGCAGAACCCAGCUUGAGCAAAGGAGCUUCCAGCCUACAAAGACAACAACAAAACCAACAAGCCUUCCCCCCAAAACAGCACCCUGCAUAAUGAAAUACUCUGUAAUUCCAACCUUGGAAGAGGAGGCUUUGCGGUGGUGGCGGUCUGGCUGAUGGUUGUGCAGUGUUGGUGUUGCGGUGUGAUGCCGAUUAUUGUGAUAGAAUUGCUGCAGAUUGAGGAUUCGUAGCUGGAAGCACUGGUGUUUUAGUUUUAGUCAAGAAUUGUAAUGUUUUUUUGGUUCUACUACGAGGAGUUCCCACCGCCUUAGGCGAGUGGACUAAUCUCCCGCGGGAGUUUGCAUGGGUACCUCGAUGGGCAGCAUCCGAUUUUUUCUAUUCUCAAUGCUCGAACCCGAGACCUUGGUUAAGGAGCAAGAGGCCCUUAACCACUCAUGCCAACCUCAAUUGGUAGAAUUGUAAUGUUUUAGUUACACUUUUUUUGUAUUUAGUUAAGAAUAAUUAUGUUUUAGUUUUAGUUAUAUUUCUGAAAUAAUGGUCUUCUUAGUGGAAUUGCUGGACUGAUUUUCUAUGUUUUAGUUAUGAAAUUUUAAGUUUUAGUCACGA